rnacentral:rRNA from 1 species
GACGAACCGUGCGAACGUUGUUCGGAAUCACUGGGCUUAAAGGGCGCGUAGGCGGGUCGGCCAGUCUGUGGUGAAAUCCCCCGGCUUAACCGGGGAACGGCCGCGGAUACUGCCGACCUCGAGGGGGGUAGGGGCGUGCGGAACACUAGGUGGAGCGGUGAAAUGCGUUGAUAUCUAGUGGAACUCCGGUGGCGAAGGCGGCGCGCUGGACCCCUUCUGACGCUGAGGCGCGAAAGCCAGGGGAGCGAACGGG